rnacentral:rRNA from 1 species
CAUCCUCCAAGGCUAAAUACUCCUGACUGACCGAUAGUGAACCAGUACCGUGAGGGAAAGGCGAAAAGAACCCCGGCGAGGGGAGUGAAAAAGAACCUGAAACCGUGUACGUACAAGCAGUGGGAGCCCCACCACUAAGCCAGUGGUGAACUCCACAUACGCAUCCUUUGCUGAGGAUACGGUUAACGGAGCGAAAGCGACGUUCAACCUCAAAAGAAGCAGAGGGGGCUUAGUGGUGGGGUGACUGCGUACCUUUUGUAUAAUGGGUCAGCGACUUAUAUUCUGUAGCAAGGUUAACCGUAUAGGGGAGCCGUAGGGAAACCGAGUCUUAACCGGGCGUUAAGUUGCAGGGUAUAGACCCGAAACCCGGUGAUCUAGCCAUGGGCAGGUUGAAGGUUGGGUAACACUAACUGGAGGACCGAACCGACUAAUGUUGAAAAAUUAGCGGAUGACCUGUGGCU